UACGAGGUAGAUAGGUUGGGGGUGGAAGUGCAGUAAUGCAUGGAGCUGACCAAUACUAAUCGGUCGAGGGCUUAUCCUAAA
rnacentral:rRNA from 1 species